CCUAACUUGCGAUAAGCGCAGAUAAGGCAGUAAGAGCCGUUUGAGUCUGCGAUUUCCGAAUGGGGAAACCCAACUGCACAAGCAGUUACUGUUAACUGAAUACAUAGGUUAACAGAGCAAACCGGGGGAACUGAAACAUCUAAGUACCCCGAGGAGAAGAAAUCAACCGAGAUUCCGGUAGUAGCGGCGAGCGAACCUGGAUUAGCCCUUAAGCACUCGGUGAAGUAGGUGAACAAGCUGGAAAGCUUGGCGAUACAGGGUGAUAGCCCCGUAACCGACGCUUCAUCGAGCGUGAAAUCGAGUAGGGCGGGACACGUGAUAUCCUGUCUGAAUAUGGGGGGACCAUCCUCCAAGGCUAAAUACUCCUGACUGACCGAUAGUGAACCAGUACCGUGAGGGAAAGGCGAAAAGAACCCCUGUGAGGGGAGUGAAAUAGAACCUGAAACCGUGUACGUACAAGCAGUAGGAGCACCUUCGUGGUGUGACUGCGUACCUUUUGUAUAAUGGGUCAGCGACUUAUAUUCAGUGGCAAGGUUAACCGUAUAGGGGAGCCGUAGCGAAAGCGAGUCUUAACUGGGCGCUCAGUCUCUGGAUAUAGACCCGAAACCGGGUGAUCUAGCCAUGGGCAGGUUGAAGGUUGAGUAACAUCAACUGGAGGACCGAACCGACUAAUGUUGAAAAAUUAGCGGAUGACUUGUGGCUAGGGGUGAAAGGCCAAUCAAACUCGGAGAUAGCUGGUUCUCCCCGAAAGCUAUUUAGGUAGCGCCUCGGACGAAUACUACUGGGGGUAGAGCACUGUUAAGGCUAGGGGGUCAUCCCGACUUACCAACCCUUUGCAAACUCCGAAUACCAGUAAGUACUAUCCGGGAGACACACGGCGGGUGCUAACGUCCGUCGUGGAGAGGGAAACAACCCAGACCGCCAGCUAAGGUCCCAAAGUAUUGCUAAGUGGGAAACGAUGUGGGAAGGCUCAGACAGCUAGGAUGUUGGCUUAGAAGCAGCCAUCAUUUAAAGAAAGCGUAAUAGCUCACUAGUCGAGUCGGCCUGCGCGGAAGAUGUAACGGGGCUAAGCAAUACACCGAAGCUGCGGCAAUGCCUUUUAGGUAUUGGGUAGGGGAGCGUUCUGUAAGCCGUUGAAGGUGGUCUGUAAGGGCUGCUGGAGGUAUCAGAAGUGCGAAUGCUGACAUGAGUAACGACAAAGGGGGUGAAAAACCUCCUCGCCGGAAGACCAAGGGUUCCUGUCCAACGUUAAUCGGGGCAGGGUGAGUCGACCCCUAAGGUGAGGCCGAAAGGCGUAAUCGAUGGGAAACGGGUUAAUAUUCCCGUACUUCUGACUAUUGCGAUGGGGGGACGGAGAAGGCUAGGUGGGCCAGGCGACGGUUGUCCUGGUUCAAGUGCGUAGGCUUAAGAGUUAGGUAAAUCCGGCUCUUUAUAAGGCUGAGACACGACGUCGAGCUGCUACGGCAGUGAAGUCAUUGAUGCCAUGCUUCCAGGAAAAGCCUCUAAGCUUCAGAUAGUCAGGAAUCGUACCCCAAACCGACACAGGUGGUCGGGUAGAGAAUACCAAGGCGCUUGAGAGAACUCGGGUGAAGGAACUAGGCAAAAUGGUACCGUAACUUCGGGAGAAGGUACGCUCUUGAUGGUGAAGUCCCUUGCGGAUGGAGCUGACGAGAGUCGCAGAUACCAGGUGGCUGCAACUGUUUAUUAAAAACACAGCACUGUGCAAAAUCGCAAGAUGACGUAUACGGUGUGACGCCUGCCCGGUGCCGGAAGGUUAAUUGAUGGGGUUAGCGCAAGCGAAGCUCUUGAUCGAAGCCCCGGUAAACGGCGGCCGUAACUAUAACGGUCCUAAGGUAGCGAAAUUCCUUGUCGGGUAAGUUCCGACCUGCACGAAUGGCGUAAUGAUGGCCACGCUGUCUCCACCCGAGACUCAGUGAAAUUGAAAUCGCUGUGAAGAUGCAGUGUACCCGCGGCUAGACGGAAAGACCCCGUGAACCUUUACUACAGCUUGGCACUGAACAUUGAACCUACAUGUGUAGGAUAGGUGGGAGGCUAUGAAGACGUGACGCCAGUUGCGUUGGAGCCGUCCUUGAAAUACCACCCUUGUAUGUUUGAUGUUCUAACUUAGCCCCAUUAUCUGGGGUGAGGACAGUGCCUGGUGGGUAGUUUGACUGGGGCGGUCUCCUCCCAAAGAGUAACGGAGGAGCACGAAGGUGGGCUAAUCACGGUUGGACAUCGUGAGGUUAGUGCAAUGGCAUAAGCCCGCUUAACUGCGAGAAUGACGGUUCGAGCAGGUGCGAAAGCAGGUCAUAGUGAUCCGGUGGUUCUGUAUGGAAGGGCCAUCGCUCAACGGAUAAAAGGUACUCCGGGGAUAACAGGCUGAUACCGCCCAAGAGUUCAUAUCGACGGCGGUGUUUGGCACCUCGAUGUCGGCUCAUCACAUCCUGGGGCUGAAGUCGGUCCCAAGGGUAUGGCUGUUCGCCAUUUAAAGUGGUACGCGAGCUGGGUUUAGAACGUCGUGAGACAGUUCGGUCCCUAUCUGCCGUGGGCGUUGGAAGAUUGAAGGGGGCUGCUCCUAGUACGAGAGGACCGGAGUGGACGAACCUCUGGUGUUCGGGUUGUGUCGCCAGACGCAUUGCCCGGUAGCUAAGUUCGGAAUUGAUAAGCGCUGAAAGCAUCUAAGCGCGAAGCGAGCCCUGAGAUGAGUCUUCCC
rnacentral:rRNA from 1 species